UUCGUCCUUUCCCGCUUUUUUCUUUCGCCAGGCAGGCGCAGUAGCGACUCACGCGCUCAGCUUUUUUUUUCUUGUUGUUUUUUUGUUCGUUCGCGCGCCAAUUCCUGAGGGGAAAAUCGUUGCCUUUUAAAAGAAGGCAGAAAAAGAGAAAAAAAAUUGAGUAACUAAGUUUUGUGGGAGCCUCUGCUCCAAAUAGAAUGGCAGCCAUUGGCGCCUCUGUCUCUUCUAGCCAGGCCGUGUUUGGGCUCGCGAGGUGCUCGAGACUCAGCAAGGCUCAAUGUGUUUGUACAAUACCAGUCUGGCCAAGGAAAAGCCACUGGCAGAGGGGAUGAAGACUGUGCAGUUGCUUCAAAAGCUGGUUAAGAAAGGCAACUUCAGGCAGCAAACGUGAUUUAGCCCAAGGAAAGAUGACUGGAGAGGUUGUAUCUUAUCGCAAAUUCCUGUGCAUCAAAUGUAGAAGAGGCUCUUUGAUAGCAGAGAAUUCUAGAGAAAUUCACUUUUGCUGUUUGAAAAGGUGAGGAAGAGCUCCCCUCCCCCCAGCUACAUUAUGACUUUAGCAAUAAUUGCCUUCAGGGGGAAAAGACGGUUCCUUCUGCUGCCAAUCACAUGCCACAUUGAAGGAAAAGGGGUAUGAAGAAGGAUAGGCCCAUUUCUAUAUUUAUCUGAUUUCUAUAACCACUCUUCCCAACAAAUGACCCCGAGUGGCAUACAUUAUGGGGCUGCCCUUGAAAACCACUGGGAGGCUUCAGUUGGUGCAGAAUGCAGCCGCGUGGGUAGUGAUGGGAGUGUCCCGAUGCUCCCAUGUCACACCCCUCCUGCGUGACCUGCAUUGGUUACCGGUUGCCCUCCGGGUGAGGUUCAAGGUGCUGGUGAUUACCUAUAAAGCCCUACAUGGCUUAGGCCCGUGGUAUUUGGCGGAUCACCUGCAGCCAGCAACAGCUCCCCAUCGCCCCGUGCGCUCACAUAGAGAGGGCCUACUUGGGGUCCCGUUGGCCAAUGUUGGCUGACGGCCCCUAGGGAGCAAGCCUUCUCUGUGGGCACACCUGCCCUCUGGAAUCAGUUCCCCUUGGAGCUCCGGGUAGCCCCCGACCUUCGCUCCUUCCGCCGUGACCUUAAAACAUGGCUGUUUCGCCAAGCUGGCCUGGACUGAAUGGGGUUUUAAUGGGAAUUUUAGUUUUUAUUGUUGAAUUUUAAUUGGACUUGUUUGUUGCUGUGAGGCGCCCUGAGUCCUUGUGGAGAAAGGGCGGCAUAUAAAUCCGAUAAUAAAUAAAUAAAUAAUAAAUAAAUAAAUUAUAAAACAAAAGCAAUUAAACUGCUAUAAAAUAAAUAUAGAUGCACCAAGUAAAACUGUUACUAUGGAUGAUAAUACAGCUAGGAAAAGGGGCCCUUAACUUUAUAUUUCCUACUUGCUACGAUCCAAUCCGUCCCCAAAUUUCCCUAGCAGAGAAGAGGCAGGAAAAUCUCACAUUGUUGGUUGGGUCUAAAGCAAACGACUUGAGUAUCAUGCAGCACUCCAAGAUGCAAAUAUACCCUAAGGUACAAGUAUGGUCACUAUGCAGCCAUGUUAUCCAACGGCAGCCCUAAUCUUAGAAGAAGUAAGGGCAGAAGUCUAACAACUGAAGCGUGUAUUCCCCAAAGCAAGUUCCAUCAAGUUCAUCAUGGCUUCUUCACACACACACACCUGCAUGGGGCAUAGCCUUAAAAGAAUGUUGUUUGAGAAAGGAAAGAUGAUAUCCAAAGUUGUAUCAUAAAGAUAUGCCAAAUAAUUUCAGAUGCAUUAUAGCUCACGUCUAGCCAAUGUUAAAGUAGUUGGACCAGGAGAGGCCCUAACCCUAAUAUCUUUGUCAACAUCCUAAGCUAACCCAUUGCCUAAAUUCCAAUCUUCAGGCCAUUAACCCUAACAUACCAAUUUGUACAUAAGUGUUCCUCUGUUUUAUGCAUUCAGUUAUUUGCAACUAUAAUUUGUAGGGAAGAGAGCAAGCAGCAUGGAUAAAAAUAAACUUAAAACUAGAUGACUAGGCUAAAACAUGCAGAUACUUGGAACAGUACCUAUGAAAGAGAACAUCACCAAUGCAACCAAUGCACAUAAGGCAGCGGUAAAAGUAUGUAACAAAUCCUUAAAUGGAUAUGCAUAUUUAUCAGCCAGAUUCUUGAGUGUUUAAUGUAAACCAAAUUAGCAUACAUAUUAAAACAAAAAGUAUAAAGCCUUUAUGAAAACCUUGGUGAAUCUCUCUCUCUCUCUCUCUCCCCCCUCCCUCCCUCCCUCCAUCUACCUACUUACCUACCACCCAAUGACUAAAAAUGCUUGGCAA